GCCGGAGUGGUGAAAUUGGUAGACGCACUGGACUCAAAAUCCAGCGGGGUAACCCGUGCCGGUUCGACCCCGGCCUCCGGUACCA
rnacentral:tRNA from 1 species